rnacentral:sRNA from 1 species
AGAUUCGAACCUGCAGCAGGUUCGAGUUGAGCGCAGCGAAACAACGGAGCCGCUCGCGGCGACGGCCCGAAGGGCGAGCGAAGUGAGUCAUCCUGCACGACCCACCA